GAGUAACGCGUGAGGAACCUGCCUUUCAGUGGGGGACAACAGUUGGAAACGACUGCUAAUACCGCAUGAAGCAUUUAGGGGGCAUCCCCUGAAUGCCAAAGAUUUAUUGCUGAAAGAUGGCCUCGCGUCUGAUUAGCUAGUUGGAGGGGUAACGGCCCACCAAGGCGACGAUCAGUAGCCGGUCUGAGAGGAUGAAUGGCCACAUUGGGACUGAGAUACGGCCCAGACUCCUACGGGAGGCAGCAGUGGGGAAUAUUGGGCAAUGGGGGAAACCCUGACCCAGCAACGCCGCGUGAAGGAAGAAGGCUUUCGGGUUGUAAACUUCUUUUACCAGGGACGAAGAAAGUGACGGUACCUGGAGAAAAAGCCACGGCUAACUACGUGCCAGCAGCCGCGGUAAUACGUAGGUGGCAAGCGUUGUCCGGAUUUACUGGGUGUAAAGGGCGUGUAGGCGGAGAUUCAAGUCAGGAGUGAAAACUAUGGGCUUAACCCAUAAACUGCUUUUGAAACUGAAUCCCUUGAGUAUCGGAGAGGCAGGCGGAAUUCCUAGUGUAGCGGUGAAAUGCGUAGAUAUUAGGAGGAACACCAGUGGCGAAGGCGGCCUGCUGGACGACAACUGACGCUGAGGCGCGAAA
rnacentral:rRNA from 1 species